rnacentral:rRNA from 1 species
ACGUACACUCCUGCGGGAGGCAGCAGUGGGGAAUAUUGCACAAUGGGCGCAAGCCUGAUGCAGCCAUGCCGCGUGUAUGAAGAAGGCCUUCGGGUUGUAAAGUACUUUCAGCGGGGAGGAAGGCAAUACGGUUAAUAACCGUGUUGAUUGACGUUACCCGCAGAAGAAGCACCGGCUAACUCCGUGCCAGCAGCCGCGGUAAUACGGAGGGUGCAAGCGUUAAUCGGAAUUACUGGGCGUAAAGCGCACGCAGGCGGUCUGUCAAGUCGGAUGUGAAAUCCCCGGGCUCAACCUGGGAACUGCAUUCGAAACUGGCAGGCUUGAGUCUUGUAGAGGGGGGUAGAAUUCCAGGUGUAGCGGUGAAAUGCGUAGAGAUCUGGAGGAAUACCGGUGGCGAAGGCGGCCCCCUGGACAAAGACUGACGCUCAGGUGCGAAAGCGUGGGGAGCAAACAGGAUUAGAAACCCCGGUAGUCCCAUGA